AACGAACGCUGGCGGCAUGCCUAACACAUGCAAGUCGAACGAGACCUUCGGGUCUAGUGGCGCACGGGUGCGUACCGCGUGGGAACCUGCCCUUAGGUUCGGAAUAACUCCCCGAAAGGGGUGCUAAUACCGGAUAAUGUCUUCGGACCAAAGAUUUAUCGCCUUUGGAUGGGCCCGCGUUGGAUUAGCUAGUUGGUAGGGUAAAAGCCUACCAAGGCGACGAUCCAUAGCUGGUCUGAGAGGAUGAUCAGCCACACUGGGACUGAGACACGGCCCAGACUCCUACGGGAGGCAGCAGUGGGGAAUAUUGUACAGUGGGCGAAAGCCUGAUCCAGCAAUGCCGCGUGAGUGAUGAAGGCGUUAGGGUUGUAAAGCUCUUUUACCCGGGAUGAUAAUGACAGUACCGGGAGAAUAAGCUCCGGCUAACUCCGUG
rnacentral:rRNA from 1 species